AUCCCCUCCCCCCCAGCGCGCGCACACACGCACGCGCACGCACGCAUUAAACAGCAGUGACGUGUGUCCUGCGGGGACCAGGGGGCGUUAAGACUCGGCAAUGCGGUGCACCCCUGCGGGUGCAGAGCUCACUGACAUUCCCUGUCCUUUGAACCCUACCGCCACCCUCACGCUUUCCUGUUUUCUACACUGAACUGGAAACCCCUAGAGACCAGAGGAUUUGCGUUGCGAGUCGUGGCAGAGCUGGGACUUUUCUGGAAGGGCAGUGGCAGUAAGGGAGCCUGAAAGGUUCCCCAGGCCAGGCCUGUGGCUUUGACAGCAGGACUUGCUGUUCCCUGGCCAGCCCGCACAGGCCCCUCCCUCCCCAUCCACCCCCCACCCUGGGCUUCAGCCCCACCUGAGGACCCGGAGGAAGGGAAUGCAGGUCUGGACGUCUGAUCCAAAAUCUUCAUUUCUUAUGGGACAAGGUCUGGAAUGCUCCAUCUGGCCCCUCUCCGGAACCUGCUCUCGUGCUCAGCGUCCACUGCUUUUGUCAUAGAAACCGUCUCCCAGCUGCUCCCUGAGCACACCGGCCACAUUUCUCUCACUACCUUGGGGGCUUGGUCCACAGCCUUCCCUUCUCUCUCCCGGCCCCACCGUCAUAGCCCAUCAAAGCCUGUCCUGCAAGGGAAGCCCGCUUCAGCCAUCAUGACCCUCUCUUCUGAGCUGUUUGUAAAAUUAAUCCCAACGAACACAAAGGAAUAAAAGACAAGAUAUUAAGCCCA